GACGGAAGGUGCAAGCGUUGCUCGGAAUCACUGGGCGUAAAGGGUGCGUAGGCGGCUUGGUGGGUCUGGUGUGAAAGCCCCGGGCUCAGCCCGGGAAGGGCACUAGAAACUGCCGAGCUGGAGUGCCGGAGGGGGAGAGUGGAAUUCCUGGUGUAGCGGUGAAAUGCGUAGAUAUCAGGAGGAACACCCGUGGCGAAGGCGGCUCUCUGGGACGGUACUGACGCUGAGACGCGAAAGCGUGGGGAGCGAACAGG
rnacentral:rRNA from 1 species